GACUCUGAAUAACUUUAUGCUGAUCGCACGGUCUCGCACCGGCGACGCAUCUUUCAAAUGUCUGCCUUAUCAACUGUCGAUGGUAGGUUCUGCGCCUACCAUGGUUGUAACGGGUAACGGGGAAUCAGGGUUCGAUUCCGGAGAGGGAGCCUGAGAAACGGCUACCACAUCCAAGGAAGGCAGCAGGCGCGCAAAUUACCCACUCCCGGCACGGGGAGGUAGUGACGAAAAAUAACGAUACGGGACUCAUCCGAGGCCCCGUAAUCGGAAUGAGUACACUCUAAAUCCUUUAACGAGGAUCAAUUGGAGGGCAAGUCUGGUGCCAGCAGCCGCGGUAAUUCCAGCUCCAAUAGCGUAUAUUAAAGUUGUUGCGGUUAAAAAGCUCGUAGUCGAAUUUGUGUCCCGCGCCGCCGGUUCAUCGUUCGCGGUGUUAACUGGCGUGUCGCGGGACGUCCUGCCGGUGGGCUUAGCUCAUUCGAGGGCGGCCCAACUCAAUCCCGCCGCGGUGCUCUUCACUGAGUGUCGAGGUGGGCCGGCACGUUUACUUUGAACAAAUUAGAGUGCUUAAAGCAGGCUAAAAUUUUGCCUGAAUAUAUUGUGCAUGGAAUAAUGAAAUAGGACCUCGGUUCUAUUUUGUUGGUUUUCGGAACCCCGAGGUAAUGAUUAAUAGGAACUGAUGGGGGCAUUCGUAUUGCGACGUUAGAGGUGAAAUUCUUGGACCGUCGCAAGACGGACAGAAGCGAAAGCAUUUGCCAAAAAUGUUUUCAUUGAUCAAGAACGAAAGUUAGAGGCUCGAAGGCGAUCAGAUACCGCCCUAGUUCUAACCAUAAACGAUGCCAGCUAGCGAUCCGCCGACGUUCCUCCGAUGACUCGGCGGGCAGCUUCCGGGAAACCAAAGCUUUUGGGUUCCGGGGGAAGUAUGGUUGCAAAGCUGAAACUUAAAGGAAUUGACGGAAGGGCACCACCAGGAGUGGAGCCUGCGGCUUAAUUUGACUCAACACGGGAAAUCUCACCAGGCCCGGACACCGGAAGGAUUGACAGAUUGAGAGCUCUUUCUUGAUUCGGUGGGUUGUGGUGCAUGGCCGUUCUUAGUU
rnacentral:rRNA from 1 species